ACGCGUAUGAAAGUCAAGCUGAAAGACUUUACUUAAUGAUGUAAGUGGUGGUGCAUGGUCGUUCUUAGUUCGUGGAUUGAUUCGUCUGGUCGAUUCCGAUAACGAGCGAGACCCCGGUGUUCCUAAUAGGGGCGUUAGCCCGCUGGGCCUUAACGGGCUUGGCAGCUUCCGCUUAAGAUUAACUUCUUAGACACAUCAGGGCCGAUAAGGUCCUUGAAAUGGGUUAAUAACAGGUCAGUCAUGCCCUUAGAUGUUCUGGGCCGCACGCGCGUUACAAUGGCAUGAAUAAAAAGUGCUAUUAAAAGGCGUUUACCGGGCCUAACGGUCUGGGUAACCCUUAAUCCCUGCUUUGACUGGGAUAGAUUUUUGCAAUUAUUGGUCUCUAACGAGGAAUUUUUAGUCAGCGCAGGUCAUUAACCUGCGUUGA
rnacentral:rRNA from 1 species